rnacentral:rRNA from 1 species
GUGGGGAAUUUUGGACAAUGGGGGCAACCCUGAUCCAGCCAUUCCGCGUGAGUGAAGAAGGCCUUCGGGUUGUAAAGCUCUUUCGGCAGGAACGAAACGGUGAGCUCUAACAUAGCUCGCUAAUGACGGUACCUGAAGAAGAAGCACCGGCUAACUACGUGCCAGCAGCCGCGGUAAUACGUAGGGUGCGAGCGUUAAUCGGAAUUACUGGGCGUAAAGCGUGCGCAGGCGGUUGUGUAAGACAGGUGUGAAAUCCCCGGGCUUAACCUGGGAACUGCGCUUGUGACUGCACGGCUAGAGUAUGGCAGAGGGGGGUGGAAUUCCACGUGUAGCAGUGAAAUGCGUAGAGAUGUGGAGGAACACCGAUGGCGAAGGCAGCCCCCUGGGCCAAUACUGACGCUCAUGCACGAAAGCGUGGGGAGCAAACAGGAUUAGAUACCCGAGUAGUCC